rnacentral:rRNA from 1 species
GAUGAACGCUGGCGGCGUGCCUAAUACAUGCCAGUCGAGCGAACAGACGAGGAGCUUGCUUCUCUGACGUUAGCGGCGGACGGGUGAGUAACACGUGGAUAACCUACCUAUAAGACUGGGAUAACUUUGGGAAACCGGAGCUAAUACCGGAUAAUAUAUUGAACCGCAUGGUUCAAUAGUGAAAGACGGUUUUGCUGUCACUUAUAGAUGGAUCCGCGCCGCAUUAGCUAGUUGGUAAGGUAACGGCUUACCAAGGCAACGAUGCGUAGCCGACCUGAGAGGGUGAUCGGCCACACUGGAACUGAGACACGGUCCAGACUCCUACGGGAGGCAGCAGUAGGGAAUCUUCCGCAAUGGGCGAAAGCCUGACGGAGCAACGCCGCGUGAGUGAUGAAGGUCUUCGGAUCGUAAAACUCUGUUAUUAGGGAAGAACAAAUGUGUAAGUAACUAUGCACGUCUUGACGGUACCUAAUCAGAAAGCCACGGCUAACUACGUG